rnacentral:rRNA from 1 species
UACAGAGGGCCCAAGCGUUACUGAGAAUCACUGGGUUUAAAGGGUGCGUAGGUGGUCCGUUAAGUCAGUUGUGAAAUCCCCGGGCUCAACUCGGGAACUGCUUCUGAUACUGGCGGACUUGAGGCCAGUAGGGGUCACUAGAACUGACGGUGGAGCGGUGAAAUGCGUAGAUAUCGUCAGGAAUGCCGGUGGUGAAGACGGGUGACUGGGCUGGUUCUGACACUGAGGCACGAAAGCGUGGGGAGCGAACGGG